UACGUAGGGUGCGAGCGUUAAUCGGAAUUACUGGGCGUAAAGCGUGCGCAGGCGGUUGUGCAAGACAGUGGUGAAAUCCCCGGGCUUAACCUGGGAACUGCCUUUGUGACUGCACGGCUAGAGUGUGUCAGAGGGGGGUAGAAUUCCACGUGUAGCCGUGAAAUGCGUAGAGAUGUGGAGGAACACCAAUGGCGAAGGCCGCUCACUGGGACGGUAUUGACGCUGCGACGCGAAAGCGUGGGGAGCAAACAGG
rnacentral:rRNA from 1 species